AUGAACGCUAGCUACAGGCUUAACACAUGCAAGUCGAGGGGCAGCAUGAACUUAGCUUGCUAAGUUUGAUGGCGACCGGCGCACGGGUGAGUAACACGUAUCCAACCUGCCGAUGACUCGGGGAUAGCCUUUCGAAAGAAAGAUUAAUACCCGAUGGCAUAGUUCUUCCGCAUGGUAGAACUAUUAAAGAAUUUCGGUCAUCGAUGGGGAUGCGUUCCAUUAGGUUGUUGGCGGGGUAACGGCCCACCAAGCCUUCGAUGGAUAGGGGUUCUGAGAGGAAGGUCCCCCACAUUGGAACUGAGACACGGUCCAAACUCCUACGGGAGGCAGCAGUGAGGAAUAUUGGUCAAUGGACGAGAGUCUGAACCAGCCAAGUAGCGUGAAGGAUGACUGCCCUAUGGGUUGUAAACUUCUUUUAUACGGGAAUAAAGUGAGGCACGUGUGCCUUUUUGUAUGUACCGUAUGAAUAAGGAUCGGCUAACUCCGUGCCAGCAGCCGCGGUAAUACGGAGGAUCCGAGCGUUAUCCGGAUUUAUUGGGUUUAAAGGGAGCGUAGGCGGACGCUUAAGUCAGUUGUGAAAGUUUGCGGCUCAACCGUAAAAUUGCAGUUGAUACUGGGUGUCUUGAGUACAGUAGAGGCAGGCGGAAUUCGUGGUGUAGCGGUGAAAUGCUUAGAUAUCACGAAGAACUCCGAUUGCGAAGGCAGCUUGCUGGACUGUAACUGACGCUGAUGCUCGAAAGUGUGGGUAUCAAACAGGAUUAGAUACCCUGGUAGUCCACACAGUAAACGAUGAAUACUCGCUGUUUGCGAUAUACAGUAAGCGGCCAAGCGAAAGCGUUAAGUAUUCCACCUGGGGAGUACGCCGGCAACGGUGAAACUCAAAGGAAUUGACGGGGGCCCGCACAAGCGGUGGAGUAUGUGGUUUAAUUCGAAGCAACGCGAAGAACCUUACCAGGGCUUGACAUCCUACUAACGAGAUAGAGAUAUGUUAGGUGCCCUUCGGGGAAAGUAGAGACAGGUGGUGCAUGGUUGUCGUCAGCUCGUGUCGUGAGAUGUUGGGUUAAGUCCCGCAACGAGCGCAACCCCUAAUAUUAGUUGCCAGCGAGUAAUGUCGGGAACUCUAAUAUGACUGCCGGUGAUAAAUCGGAGGAAGGUGGGGACGACGUCAAAUCAUCAUGCCCUUUAUGUCUUGGGCUACACACGUACUACAAUGGCUAUAACAAAGAGAAGCGAGACAGUGAUGUGGAGCAAAACUCAAAAAAAUAGUCUCAGUUCGGAUUGAAGGCUGAAACUCGCCUUCAUGAAGCCGGAAUUGCUAGUAAUGGCAGGUCAGCAUACUGCCGUGAAUACGUUCCCGGGCCUUGUACACACCGCCCGUCACACCAUGAGAGUUGGGAAUACCCGAAGCCUGUGAGCCAACUGUAAAGAGGCAGCAGUCGAAGGUAGAAUCAAUGAUUGGGGUG
rnacentral:rRNA from 1 species